rnacentral:rRNA from 1 species
GUGGGGAAUUUUGGACAAUGGGCGCAAGCCUGAUCCAGCAAUGCCGCGUGCAGGAAGAAGGCCUUCGGGUUGUAAACUGCUUUUGUACGGAACGAAACGGUCCGGGUUAAUACCCUGGGCUAAUGACGGUACCGUAAGAAUAAGCACCGGCUAACUACGUGCCAGCAGCCGCGGUAAUACGUAGGGUGCAAGCGUUAAUCGGAAUUACUGGGCGUAAAGCGUGCGCAGGCGGUUUUGUAAGACAGGCGUGAAAUCCCCGGGCUCAACCUGGGAAUUGCGCUUGUGACUGCAAGGCUGGAGUGCGGCAGAGGGGGAUGGAAUUCCGCGUGUAGCAGUGAAAUGCGUAGAUAUGCGGAGGAACACCGAUGGCGAAGGCAAUCCCCUGGGCCUGCACUGACGCUCAUGCACGAAAGCGUGGGGAGCAAACAGGAUUAGAAACCCGGGUAGUCC